CAGCAUGUUUUCAAGAUGGAGCAAGAAGAAUAUUCUAAGGAGGAAAUAGACAGGAGUUACAUACAGUUUGAGGAUAAUCAAGAUAUUUUAGAUCUCAUUAAAAGAAACCUGGGGGGAUCCUUGCUCUUCUGGAUGAGGCUUGGUAUGUAUACGUUUCCAUAUACUUUUGUCUAUGUUUCUUAUAUAUUAUGUUUGUGUUUUUUAGCACAAUAAUCUACUGGAUAGAAUAUGUAAGUUAAGAGGAGUAGAUAGAAUAUAUAAGCUUUCAUAUAUUGUGUGGACAAUAUACAUUGUAAUUAUCUUUACCGCAAUUAGUUUUCAUAAUUCUAUACCACUAGACUACGGUUGGCCGCCACCACCCUUACAAAAUGUGUCAUUUGUGUUUUUCCCUACUCCUGAGUCAUUUAAUUUGGUUCGUCUCACACAAAUUCUAGUUAGAAUGAGUCUUUUAUACAAAAAAAAAAUAAGUGUCAAUUUGGUUCGGGUCAAAACGAGUUAUUUCAAAGAAGUAUCAAACUGUGUUCAGGUCAAAAUAUACCAUUCUUAAAAAAGUGUAGAUUUGGUUCGGAUCGAAAAAUGUUGUCAUCAUUAUUAUUUAAAACGGUAUUGUCCACAUUAAUGUUUGUUCAACAACAGCUAUUUGUGGUUCUUAGAAGAUCUCUAACAAGAGCAGAUUCCUUAAAAUUAAAGCGACUUGUGGCUUCCAAUCAACUACCUUAAAAUUAAAGCGUCUUGUGGCUUCCAAUCAACUGGUAUCAUGUCAAAUUUGAUUUAAAGGUGGUAUAGAUAUGAGUAAAGGUGGAACAUGGGUGGCUUGGGCAAGUUACUAAAACAGGUUGUAGACGUCAUAGACUUUUUGCUAUUAAGAAACAUGCCAACCUCUUUACUAGACUUUCCCAGCCUCUUUACUAACCCUUUUUGAAGUUGUUUUGUUUCAUUGUCUAAUAUAAUGCAGCCUAGAUGUACACCUUCAAAAUGCGGUACUGAUGAUCAUGUUGGCUAGCCUUUGGUUGGCCAUAUUUUCACCUUCAUUACCUGUAGCGCAACACGCGCAGUUCAUUACCCGUGGACUUACAUGUUGAAACAAAUCAUAUUUUAAUUUGGUUAGCCAACAUGAUCAUCUACUCUUAUUAUGUUUCCAAAUAUGGUUACAAUGCACUGUUAUAUCAAUAAUAAUCUAAUUAUUUUAUUGAAGUGAUCUAGGUGUUUUAUACAUUUAGACACACUUUGGGAAACUUUCUACCCAUAUGACCCGUUUCGUUUUCAGCUUAUGUUUCAUAUCACUUCUUUAACCUUAAGAUAAAAAACCCUUAAUCGGCCCAUAUGUAAGUAAAUGAACUGUAACUUUUGCCUCUAAUAACGUCUUAUACUUACUCCGCCCGAAUUCAUGUUUAAUAUAUAUAUAUAUAUAUAUACACACACACAUACAUAUACCGACUGCAUUGCUGGCAAAACUGUUGCUUUUGGCCAAUAACUUUUAUGCAAUUAGUUUUGUUGCUCAUAGAACUAUUCUAUAUGGUGUCCAUGGGAGUGUCUACAGAUUACUGUGUGCACGGGGCGCUUCGGCUUUAAGCCUCCACCUGAACUGAGUUAUUCUACCUCCAUCACUAUCUCCCUCUUUCUAAUCGAGGAUUGGGGGUUUUAAGCAUCAUGGUGUUGCUCCGCAGGUAUUGCUUAAAUUUUUAUAUAAACAAUGUUGUUUUGUAUAGCUUUGUUGUUUGGUCACGAAUUUCAUAUGUUUGUUUGACGUAUAAUCCAUGAAGUGUUCUUUCGAAUUAUUGAUGUGUUUUUGUCAGCUUCUUUUUUAUAGAUUCAAACGGUUGGACCCUUGCUGUGGUGGGAAUACUUAUACAACAUAACUGGAUUGCUAAAACUAGUGGAAUACAAAUUUUGGGUUUAUCUCAUUUGUGUUUUUAAACAUGAUAGUGUCCACGUGUGUGCAGGUUAAAUUUACAAGUUUUGAUGCCAGAUUGCAUAAUGGCCAGUGAACUUUAGCAAGAUUCAAGUUCUACAGUUGUAAAGGAUAGGUUAGUGGUAGGCAAGAGUUCAAAUGAUUUUAACUUGAACGAUGGGCUAAUAGUUGGAUAAAAAAAAGUAUUGUAAAUGGUCUUCGUGGUUGCAGUGAAGUUAGUGGUAUGAUUAGGUUACAAAGAAAUGAUUUUGAUUGUAAUUCAAUACAUCUGAUAACAUUUCUUAGGCAAAUUGCUAAACAAGUUGUAGACGUCCUUGACUUUUUGCUAUUAAUAAACAUGCCAACCUCUUUACUAGACUUUCCGAGCCUCUUUACUAACCCUUUUUGGAGUUGUUUUGUUUCAUGGUAUAAUAUAAUGCAACCUAGAUGUACACCUUCAAAAUUCGGCAUUGAUGAUCAUGUUGGCUAGCCUUUGGUUGGCCAUAUUUUCACCUUCAUUACCCAUGGCGCAACAUACGCAGGUCAUUACCCUUGGACUUAAAUGUUGAAACAAAUGAUAUUUUAAUUUUUUUUGUUGAAGUUAAUUUAUUAUGAUUUCAAUUUCAUAAAAGUUAUAAUAAUUAAUGGGAAUGUUUGGUUAAAACUUAGGAUUUUUUCUUGCUUAUGUUGAAAUGUGGUGUAGAAAAGUUGGAAUUUGGCAAAACUUCUAAUUUUUACAACUUUCAACCAGUUUCACUUCUGGUCAAAACAUUUUUUAUUACAUGUAUAUAUGGUUGGAAAGUUUUUAGCUAUAAAAAAACUUUUUAUAUGUAUGAAGCUGUCUUCAAGAAGCAGACAACGCUGGCAAUAACAGACUUAUGGGAUUGGCGCAUCAUGAAUAUGUUAGGAUAUUCAUGAGUUAUGGAUGGAUGGGAUAUAAAGAAAAUUCUACAACUGAAGCUAAGAUUGUCAAGCUCUUUGAUAAGGUAUGAUUUUGUGUGUAAUAAUGAGUUCAUUUACAUUUGUUAACAUGAAAGAUAUAAGGCUUACCUUUUUUAUAACUUUUUAUGUUAGUUUUUCUUUAUACUUCAAGUUUUGGAAUAUGAAAAUGGUAAGCCGUUUUAUAAAUCUUGAAUAUGAAGUUAUGCUUUUGUAGAUAAUACUCCCUCUGUUUUAUAAAGGUGUCAACCCUUGACUGGGCAUAUACCCUUUCUAUAAUGUUUGAAAAUUUAAUUUUCGAUAUUUCCUCCACUCAUGGCAAUACGAAUUAAUUUUUUAGACCAUGCUUUCAGCUUACAUGAUUUUCUUGGGUUACACGAUUUUAUUCAAGGUUAUAGGAACAAGAAAGCAUUCCAUGCUGUUAUUCUGACUGCUAUUUGGUGUGUGUUAUGUAUGCGAAAGGAUAAAAUGUUUAAUCACGCGGUGUCUUUGGUGAAAGUUGUGAAAGAAAUCAAAGCUGUGAGUUAUUUGUUGGUGAAGAAUAGAUCGAAACGAUAAGUUUAAAGCAGCACUUGUGAUUAUUUCGUAUUUGUUUUUGUCAGUA